GUUCAAGCUUCCACAAUCAUCCUACACAAGAGCACUGCUUCUCACAGGACUGCCUCAGCCUGGCAGGAUUCAGUCUCCUGCUCUGAGGGAAAAACAGGAAGUCAAGGAUCAAGACCGCGUGCUCAACUGAGAUCAGAAAGGAGGACAUACAGUGACUUGGCCAAAUCACUGGAGAUUCACACAGCAGAGCUCAGACGAGUGCUAUCAGCACAGCUGAGGAAGACAAGAGUUAGGGGAAUCAGUGAAGUGAGCUCCCAGCUACCGCCUCGAGAGGCUGCUAUUGACAAUCUCCUGUCUGGCCAAACAACUUCCUUUCUACAACUUUGCUUGGGCGAAUGGCAGUAGGAAAACACCACCAACAAAUUGGAAAUUGCCACAUCAUUCACAUCGGUUUUCCUCUACUAAAUCCAAUCCCUGCUUUCAAGAAGAAAGAAGUGGUAGUACAAUAAAAUCUCAGCAUUCUGUAAUCUGGCUUGAAUGUGACUGUGCAAGGAUCCUGAAAGAGAAACAUUGGUUGUGUUUUUAUUCCUUGGGUAUAAGAAUCCUGAAACAGAAAGGCAUCUGAACCUUGGAGGCAUGGGGUUCAUCUCAUCCUCAUCCAGCCUUUCACCAGAAACGUGAGGAGACUCAUACCACUUGAGAACUAUUUGUUGGAGUGCCAGAUUAUUUAAGGGCCUUUGCAUGUUUCAAGUCCUCUUCUUAAAGUAAGAAUACUCUCCACAUUUAUAAUAGCAACAAAAACACCAAUGUCAGCACAAAAUGCAAAAACGGAGGCACUUCUAUGUCAUAAUGAUACAUCAGAGUUCUGCUCAACUCUUUUUUAGAAAAAGAAGCUCAGACUUACACAC
rnacentral:antisense_RNA from 1 species